rnacentral:rRNA from 1 species
UACGAAGGGGGCGAGCGUUGUUCGGAAUCACUGGGCGUAAAGCGUGCGUAGGCGGCGAGGAAAGUUAGAAGUGAAAGCCCAGGGCUCAACCUUGGAAUUGCUUUUAAAACUCCCUUGCUCGAAUAUCGGAGAGGAGAGCGGAAUUGUCAGUGUAGCAGUGAAAUGCGUAGAUAUUGACAGGAACACCAGUGGCGUAAGCGGCUCUCUGGACGAUUAUUGACGCUGAGGCACGAAAGCGUGGGGAUCAAACAGGAUUAGAAACCCCGGUAGU